UAUACCUAUGAAUCUUUUAUUUUCUUAUCGCUGUCAAUCUGUCAUUCUCAUUCAUUUAAAUUUCGUGCGAUGAUCGCGACUGUCACCGAGGGAACCUCCUUCAGGGAUUUCACCAAGGAAAAAGAAUGGUCAUGAUUGCAUCGGAUGGACCAGUUCCCCAGGCGUCCGUAACAAAAUUUGCGGCUUAUUGGGAUACAUUCCCAAUAAGACGCAAAAAUAAAAAGGAACUUUUUUGGGUCGCCUGGGAACUAGAGUCGUUUCUCAUUUGCAACAGGCCAUUGCUCAGGAGAAGAAAAAAGUAUAGACACAGUGGUGUCGGAACUGAGUGAAUGAUUAGGUUGCAAAUUAGGAGUGGCAAGGAACCAUGUGGGGAAAAACCCACGUUCAAAGCCGGGCAAAAAAAAAAAAAAAUGUAUUUACUAAGUACAUGUUAGUUCAAGAACCAUCGAUGCCUUUCUUCCAGCUUAGUACACUCGUGAAGCAAGAUUUGGUAUGCAAUUGUGUCGUUUAUUCGCCCUUGAACUUCCCUGUGAAUCUUGAAAAGAGAGGAUAGUUUUAUUUCACGACCGGAGAAGUAUUAGUGGUGUCGUGUUGAGUAUCUUUCACUCCAUCACAGCAUUGAAUUUUUGCGUGAGCGGAUUUGAAUGCAAAGUGCAUUUUGUUUAUUGUGAACGAAUUCAUGGGAUAAAUAAGAUCAGCGAUGAAUAUUACCUGUCCCAGAGGGGUGUAUCUGAUCACUUUAUUAGAAGUCGCGUUAUAGUUACAGUGAAGAUAAGUAGCUUAUAUGUAUAUAAUCUCUUUCCUCAUUAAUACUUUUCUUUUUUUUUUUUCGGAUUACCUGUUGUCAAAGGAUUAUGGAGUGUUAUACAGGCGAACGGCAAUAGUGAAGCACGAUUGGGAACAACUUGAUUUUAUCAACGAAUUUAAUAAUUAGGAUUCACUUAAUAUCCAUGGUGAGUGGUUUGAUUAUUUUGAUAUUUGAAGUAUGAAAAGAGCUUGUUAUUAAACUAUGUAUAUAAAGAGCAUGCAAAAAAAAAAGGUUUAAUAAAUAAUAAAUAAAUAAAUAGAGAAUUGUAUAAAUAAAACUUAAGUCUAGUAUCACAGUAGAAUAAAUAAACGAGAUAAUAAAACGUAAAAUAAGUAAAUAUC